UCUUACAGAUUUGGGGUUUUACUUUGGGG
rnacentral:piRNA from 1 species